GUCACUAUGGGUCCAGCGCUGGCUCAGCAGUAGAGCACGCAGCCCAUGUACAGGGAGGCUUCGGCCCUCAACGCGACUGUACCCUGGUUCGAGUCCAGGCAGUGACA